rnacentral:sRNA from 1 species
UCUCACUGAGCUACAAAGCGUUUGCAAUGUCUGCAACUAAAUCCGGGUCAAGGAAGCGGGCUUCCGAAUCCGAACUCACGAAAACCGAUAAGAACAACCGAUCAACAAAUGAUAAUUUCGAUCUCGAUUUGGAUUUCGAUCUCUCAGAUGACAUCAAAGGAAUCGUGUCCGCGUUGCACCUGAUCAGAGACAAGGCUCAGAAGGAUGGUCAGAAGAAGAACGAAGAGACAAUUUCCAGUGUGGGUUUUGAGGUUAAGUCUAUGAUCGAGGGAUUGAGGUCAAAAAUUGAGAAGGAC